GAUGAACGCUGGCGGCGUGCCUAAUACAUGCAAGUCGAGCGAACAGACGAGGAGCUUGCUCCUCUGACGUUAGCGGCGGACGGGUGAGUAACACGUGGAUAACCUACCUAUAAGACUGGGAUAACUUCGGGAAAACGGAGCUAAUAACGGAUAAUAUAUUCAACCGCAUGGUUCAAUAGUGAAAGACGGUUUUGCUGUCACUUAUAGAUGGAUCCGCGCCGCAUUAGCUAGUUGGUAAGGUAACGGCUUACCAAGGCAACGAUGCGUAGCCGACCUGAGAGGGUGAUCAGCCACACUGGAACUGAGACACGGUCCAGACUCCUACGGGAGGCAGCAGUGGGGAAUCUUCCGCAAUGGGCGAAAGCCUGACGGAGCAACACCGCGUGAGUGAUGAAGGUCUUCGGAUCGUAAAACUCUGUUAUUAGGGAAGAACAAAUGUGUAAGUAUCUAUGCACGUCUUGACGGUACCUAAUCAGAAAGCCACGGCUAACUACGUG
rnacentral:rRNA from 1 species